CUGCCUCCUGGAAGACACUGCCACCCCUAGUAGCUUCCAUUCCAUCAUGGACAGCACUGCUCACUCCUGACUCAACCCUUGCUUUGUUCAAAUACUAGAAAUAUUAGAU